AGAGUGAACGCUGGCGGCAGGCCUAAUACAUGCAAGUCGAACGGCAGCACAGCAGAGCUUGCUCUGUGGGUGGCGAGUGGCGGACGGGUGAGGAAUACAUGGGAAUCUGCCCAGUCGUGGGGGAUAACGUAUGGAAACGUACGCUAAUACCGCAUGCGCCCUUCGGGGGAAAGCCGGGGACCUUCGGGCCUGGCGCGAUUGGAUGAGCCCAUGUCGGAUUAGCUAGUUGGCGGGGUAAAGGCCCACCAAGGCGACGAUCCGUAGCUGGUCUGAGAGGAUGAUCAGCCACACUGGAACUGAGACACGGUCCAGACUCCUACGGGAGCAGCAGUAGGGAAUAUUGGACAAUGGGCGCAAGCCUGAUCCAGCCAUCGCCGCGUGUGUGAAGAAGGCCUUGGUUGUAAAGCUACUUUUCGUACCGGAAAGAAAA
rnacentral:rRNA from 1 species